rnacentral:rRNA from 1 species
GCAUAUCAAUAAGCGGAGGAAAAGAAACUAACAAGGAUUCCCCUAGUAACUGCGAGUGAAGCGGGAAAAGCUCAAAUUUAAAAUCUGGCGGUCUUUGGCCGUCCGAGUUGUAGUCUGGAGAAGUGCUUUCCGCGCUGGACCGUGUACAAGUCUCCUGGAACGGAGCGUCAUAGAGGGUGAGAAUCCCGUCUUUGACACGGACUACCAGUGCUCUGUGAUGCGCUCUCAAAGAGUCGAGUUGUUUGGGAAUGCAGCUCAAAAUGGGUGGUGAAUUCCAUCUAAAGCUAAAUAUUGGCGAGAGACCGAUAGCGAACAAGUACCGUGAGGGAAAGAUGAAAAGCACUUUGGAAAGAGAGUUAAACAGUACGUGAAAUUGCUGAAAGGGAAACGCUUGAAGUCAGUCGCGUCGGCCGGAACUCAGCCUUGCUUUUGCUUGGUGUACUUUCCGGUCGACGGGCCAGCAUCGAUUUCGAUCGUCGGAAAAAGGCAGAGGGAAUGUGGCACCUUCGGGUGUGUUAUAGCCCUCUGUUGCAUACGACGGUUGGGAUCGAGGUUCGCAGCACGCCUUUAUGGUCGGGGUUCGCCCACGUUCGUGCUUAGGAUGCUGGCGUAAUGGCUUUAAACGACCCGUCUUGAAACACGGACC